AGUGAACGCUGGCGGUAGGCCUAACACAUGCAAGUCGAACGGAAGCACAGUAAGAGCUUGCUCUUACGGGUGGCGAGUGGCGGACGGGUGAGGAAUACAUCGGAAUCUACUUUUUCGUGGGGGAUAACGUAGGGAAACUUACGCUAAUACCGCAUACGACCUACGGGUGAAAGCAGGGGAUCUUCGCACCUUGCGCGAUUGAUUGAGCCGAUGUCGGAUUAGCUAGUUGGCGGGGUAAAGGCCCACCAAGGCGACGAUCCGUAGCUGGUCUGAGAGGAUGAUCGGCCACACUGGAACUGAGACACGGUCCAGACUCCUACGGGAGGCAGCAGUAGGGAAUAUUGGACAAUGGGCGCAAGCCUGAUCCAGCCAUACCGCGUGGGUGAAGAAGGCCUUCGGGUUGUAAAGCCCUUUUGUUAGGAAAGAAAAGCAGCAGGUUAAUACCCCGCUGUUCUGACGGUACCCAAAGAAUAAGCACCGGCUAACUUCGUG
rnacentral:rRNA from 1 species